rnacentral:rRNA from 1 species
GACGAACGCUGGCGGCGUGCUUAACACAUGCAAGUCGAACGGAAAGGCCCUGCUUUUGUGGGGUGCUCGAGUGGCGAACGGGUGAGUAACACGUGAGUAACCUGCCCUUGACUUUGGGAUAACUUCAGGAAACUGGGGCUAAUACCGGAUAGGAGCUCCUGCUGCAUGGUGGGGGUUGGAAAGUUUCGGCGGUUGGGGAUGGACUCGCGGCUUAUCAGCUUGUUGGUGGGGUAGUGGCUUACCAAGGCUUUGACGGGUAGCCGGCCUGAGAGGGUGACCGGCCACAUGACGACUGAGGUACGGACCAGAAGCCUACGGGAGGCAGCAGUGGGGAGUAUUACACAAUGGGCGGAAGCCUGAUGCAGCAACGCCGCGUGCGGGAUGACGGCCUUCGGGUUGUAAACCGCUUUCGCCUGUGACGAAGCGUGAGUGACGGUAAUGGGUAAAGAAGCACCGGCUAACUACGUG